AUUGAACGCUGGCGGCAGGCUUAACACAUGCAAGUCGAGCGGAGAUGAGGUGCUUGCACCUUAUCUUAGCGGCGGACGGGUGAGUAAUGCUUAGGAAUCUGCCUAUUAGUGGGGGACAACAUUCCGAAAGGAAUGCUAAUACCGCAUACGCACUACGAGGGAAAGCAGGGGAUCUUCGGACCUUGCGCUAAUAGAUGAGCCUAAGUCGGAUUAGCUAGUUGGUGGGGUAAAGGCCUACCAAGGCGACGAUCUGUAGCGGGUCUGAGAGGAUGAUCCGCCACACUGGGACUGAGACACGGCCCAGACUCCUACGGGAGGCAGCAGUGGGGAAUAUUGGACAAUGGGCGGAAGCCUGAUCCAGCCAUGCCGCGUGUGUGAAGAAGGCCUUUUGGUUGUAAAGCACUUUAAGCGAGGAGGAGGCUACCUGGAUUAAUACUCUAGGAUAGUGGACGUUACUCGCAGAAUAAGCACCGGCUAACUCUGUGCCAGCCGCCGCAGUAAAAC
rnacentral:rRNA from 1 species